rnacentral:snRNA from 1 species
AGCUUUGCACAGUGGCAGUAUCGUAGCCAAUGAGGUUUAUCGGAGGCGCAAUUAUUACUAAUAGAGUUUGGAUUUUCUAUGGG